GGAAAGAUGGCAGCAGAUUAUUGCGCUUUUUUCCCGUACUUUCGCCAGGCGGACAUUUUUCCGACGGUCUCGACCCGGCGCGAUUUUCACCGCGAAAAUCCCACCGAAAACGCCAACCGACCGCGAUUCUACGAACGAAAUUUACCGCGUUUUUCGUUUCUUGAAUUAAACACCGGCCCUACCGGGGCAAAUGCGGUUCGCGUUAAGCUUUUCUAUCUCGGCCGACGCGAAGACUCGAGUGCGGACUUGGCGAUGAGAACGCGUGAACGUUUUCUCUAAAAUAUUCCCAUGCUCGUUGCGUAUUCUAUGUACACAAACAAAAUUCGACGUAAAUAAACAGUGGUUCGUCUCGUUAACGCUUCGUACCGCUUCACAAUCACGAGGAAAUUAAUGGCACCGCUUGCUAUCGACGAGAUGGAGCAGAGGGAUCUCCCACAGGCGUUCCGUCUGCUGGGAGAGAUGAAUGCCAAUGUCCUGCAGGUGAACCAGCUGGUGGACAAUAUGCUGGUUCGCGUGAAAAACGGCGAGAUCUCCACGGACAAGGGUCUCAGUUUCUUAGAGAUGAAGUAUCACAUGUUACUCUCCUAUCUCAUAAACUUGACUUAUGUAGUGCUGAGAAAAUGUUCCGGGGAACGCAUCGAGGAUGAUCCUUCAAUUGAUCGUUUGAUCGAGAUCAGGACUGUCCUCGAGAAAAUCCGACCAAUAGAUCACAAGCUUAAGUACCAAAUAGAUAAGCUUGUUAAGACUGCUGUAACCGGUACUAUUAAUAGCGACGAUCCCAGCAACUUCAAAGCAAAUCCUGAUGCUCUGGUUGCUAAACUGGAUAGCUGCAACGAAGAGUCUGACAGUGAACACGAGGAGGAGACGGAAGGCUUCAAGUCAAUACAGGCUAGGAAGCCAAAUGUUUACGUGCCACCAAAACUAGCUGCAGUACAUUAUGACGGCGAUGAAACAAUGGCGGAGAAAAUCCGCAAGGCUGGCGAGAGAGCUCGCAGACGCGCCGUGUCUAACACAGUCCUGCGAGAAUUGAAGGAAGAAUAUUUGGACGCACCUGUGGAGGAUAGUCAAGGCUUGGGCGAGAAGCAAGUGAUUCUGGGACGCGAGAAUAAGCGAAAAAUUGAAUACGAAGAGAACUACAUGACGCGUUUGCCGGUGACUAAGCAGGAAAAGCACAGGCGUCGUCAGAUGACUACUCUGGGUACUCUCGGCGACGAGAUCACCACUUUCGGAGAGUCAUCUGCCAAGUCUGCUAAAAAGAGAAAAGCUCAGAAAAAGGGCAAAGCUAAAAAGAGUUUCAAGAAAAAACGGCAUCACUAAGAUGGCUUUUGGGACAACGCGAGAGCCCAGUUUCAUACAGCAUUAACGAUUAAGAUAAAAGGCAAAAAAGAAAAAAAAUUUACUUCUGACUUCUUCUCGACAAAAAGCAGAUGCCACUAAUACUCGUUACUAAGUUAAGCUAAAUAACUCGUAACAUCUUAGUAAUUAAAAAAAAGAAGACAACGUGUCGACGGUGGAGUAAAAAUAGCACGAUGAAGUGUUCAUAGAUUGAGCCAACUUGGCGCGGCGACGAUGUCACACGCGCCCCCUCUUUUCGCAAUCUGUGAGGACGAUUUAAAAAAAAAAAAAAAAAAAGAAGAAGAAGAUGAAAAACUAAAAAAUGUGAUAAAUUAUUCAUGAAAUAAUAGUUAAAGAGAACUUAACAAAAUAGCACAAUCGCUGGGCAUUAUUUACAAGUGCUAGCAAGCCUAAUGUCAGCAGCCUUGUCGUAUUUGGUAAAAAAAAAAAAAAAAA
rnacentral:misc_RNA from 1 species